rnacentral:misc_RNA from 1 species
AAAGUCGUAACAAGGUCUCCGUUGGUGAACCAGCGGAGGGAUCAUUGCUGACCGAGGGCUCCAAACCACCGCGAACGUACCACACCGUUGCCUCGGCGGGCGGCUCCUGGGAGGAGCCCGCGGCCCCCCCGGGGGCGCCCGCCGCAGGCCCCAACUCGUCGUAUCUAGGCCGCUCCGAGUACCUGCGUAAGCAAUCAAAACUUUCAACAAUGGAUCUCUUGGCUCUG